AGUGAACGCUGGCGGUAGGCCUAACACAUGCAAGUCGAACGGCAGCACAGUAAGAGCUUGCUCUUACGGGUGGCGAGUGGCGGACGGGUGGGGAAUACAUCGGAAUCUACUUUUUCGUGGGGGAUAACGUAGGGAAACUUACGCUAAUACCGCAUACGACCUACGGGUGAAAGCAGGGGAUCUUCGGACCUUGCGCGAUUGAAUGAGCCGAUGUCGGAUUAGCUAGUUGGCGGGGUAAAGGCCCACCAAGGCGACGAUCCGUAGCUGGUCUGAGAGGAUGAUCAGCCACACUGGAACUGAGACACGGUCCAGACUCCUACGGGAGGCAGCAGUGGGGAAUAUUGGACAAUGGGCGCAAGCCUGAUCCAGCCAUACCGCGUGGGUGAAGAAGGCCUUCGGGUUGUAAAACCCUUUUGUUGGGAAAGAAAAGCAGCAGGUUAAUACCCCGCUGUUCUGACGGUACCCAAAGAAUAAGCACCGGCUAACUUCGUG
rnacentral:rRNA from 1 species